AAAAAAAGGUGCAAUCAUGUACGGAGGUGAUGAAGUGUCAGCUAUAGUGAUUGACCUGGGCUCCCACACUUGCAAAGCUGGUUACGCUGGCGAGGAUGCACCUAAGGCCGUCUUUCCUUCGGUUGUUGGAUCAAUUGAUCAAAUGGAUAUUGAUGACACUGCUAAUAAUGAGAAGAGCUCUUCCGUAGAUUCUAAGAACAAUAUCAAAGAUUCUGAAAAAGGCAAGGGCAAACGCAAAUUAUAUGUAGGAUCUCAAGCUGUAGG
rnacentral:misc_RNA from 1 species